UAAAAAUAAUUUGCUUGAAUUAAAUUUAUAUUUAAAAUUUAAAAAUUAAAUUAAAUUUAAAUAAAAUUUUAAUUUUAAUUUUAAUUUUAAAUAUAAAUUUGCAAAUUUGAAUUUAAAAAUUGUGUUGAAUUUGAAAUUACAAGUCGAAUUCAAAAUGCAAAAUUAAAUUUAUCAAUUCAAAUUUAAAUUGAAAUUCAACUCUAAAAAUAUAUUCAAAAAAUAAAGUUAAAACCAAAUAUAAACUUUUAGAUAAAUUAUUCACGUUCAAUAACUUCAGAAUUUUUUAAGCCAAAGUUAAAAAAGUGAGAUUUAGUUAUAACUCACUUUUUUAAUCCACUAUUGUGAAGUGAUUUUUAUAUUCACUUUCGCAAAUCAAAUGGCCGAUAAAAUAGCAUUUUCUGAAAUUCCGUAUUUUAU
rnacentral:lncRNA from 1 species